UACAGAGGUGGCAAGCGUUGUUCGGAAUUACUGGGCGUAAAGGGCGCGUAGGCGGUCUUGUAAGUCCCGUGUGAAAUCCCUCGGCUCAACUGAGGAACUGCACGGGAAACUGCCUGACUUGAGUUCGGGAGAGGGAAGCGGAAUUCCGGGUGUAGCGGUGAAAUGCGUAGAUAUCCGGAGGAGCACCGGUGGCGAAGGCGGCUUCCUGGACCGACACUGACGCUGAGGCGCGAAAGCUAGGGGAGCAAACGGG
rnacentral:rRNA from 1 species